GUGAGGAGAAGCUGGGCGUCCGCCGCGACUUCUCAUUGGCUCUCUGCCCCGCAGCCUACAAUGAGCCCGCCGAUUGGCUGCAGCUGGGUCCGCGCCGCCUUGUGAGGGUGGACAUCUGAGGCUUUGCGACUCGAAGCUAGGCACUUGGGCCCGACGCGCGGUUUGAACGGUGCUUGAGAAGCCGCGAAGAAGCGCCUCGCGCUCAGCGGCUUCUUCGCUGACGAAGUGCUGCGGUCUGCGUGCGUCAUGGCUGCACGGAAUAGUGUGGAGGAGUCCUGGCCAGUAGGUCUGGAUGAGGAACCUGCCUCCGGGCGGUCCGGGACCCUCACCUGCAGGGGCGAAAGAGGCCUGUUUUCUCUCGCCCCAGAGCUAGGACGGGCUCACUUUGGACUUAGAACUUUAUGGGGUGGAAGACAGCGGGGGCUGCCUGAGCUUGGAGACCUGAGGUAUCUGGUCCCAUGUAUGAUUUGGCCUGAGCCGUUGAGAAUGGGGGUGGAGAGAGUUGAAACAAAAUGGGCAUCCACAUACGGUUAGAACUUUAUCUUUUUGAGUUAGGAUUUUUAGGUGGCUACUUUGUCCCCCCUCACCUCGUCUGGGUUCAAAUAUUGAGCCCAGACCGUGUGCUGGACCCUGUUUUCCUGGGGAUACAGAGGUGAACCAAACAGAUGACAGUACUUACCCUUAUGGAGCUUAUAGUCGAUUGGGUUUUUAAGUUUGUGAUUUUAUACUUUUUGUAAUAAAAUAAUUACACAAAUGCUUAAGUACUUCAGGGUGCUCUGAGAGUGUAUGGCGGGGACCCAGCUCUGAAAUGAGACCCAAAGGAUGAUUAAGAGUUUGUCAGGAGGAAACAGAAUACAGUUGAGAACUACAGAAACGCCAGUGUGCUGGCACAAGGUCAGGGACGGGGAGAGUGGUUUGAGGGAGCAGCAGGGGAAGAGGUCAUGUAGGGUCUUUUAAGCCAGAUUCAGAAGUUUGGUUUCUUUCAAGAACAGUGGGUAGUUUAAAGGGUUUAGAGCCCUGGUGUGGGAGAAACCCUUGAGCCGAGGAAUUCGAGGCUGCAGUGAGCUGAGAUCACACCACUACACUCCAGCCUGGGUGACAGAGCGAGACCUUGUCUCGAGGAAAAAAAAAAAGUGAAUAGGACUGGAUGAUGGAUUGGUUGAGGAAAACCAAGAAUGGUUCCCAGAGUACUGAAGUGGUGACAUUUACUGAGGUGGGAAAGGUGAGGAGUAGGUGUUGGGGGAUGAUUGAGAAUUUCAUCUUGGGCCUGUUAAGUUUGAGAUUGCUUAUGAGACAUGUAAGUAGGGAUGUCCGUCAUGCGCUUUCAUUUGUAUGGUUUUUGAAUACUUUUUGCAUGUGUUAUAAACUGUGUCCACACUUUGAAGAUGGGGGUAUGACCUCCAUUUCAUACAUGGGGAAACUGAGGCAAAGAAAAGUGAAAGGGAUCUGCUCAGAGUCCACAGCUAGUUUAUGGCUUCCCGACUCCAUUUUUGGAGUCCAGUGUAUUAUACAGUGACCCCAUUACCUGUAUUUUCAUAGGGUGGGGACACGGUCAUACUUCUGUCCCCCAGGAAAUGAAUCUCAGGUUGGAACCUCUUCUUUGGGUUCCAUUUUGUAGUUUUUGGCAUAUGUUUAUUUGUUAUAUAAUAUUGUACUCCUGCUGUGUGUGUGUCAUUCACUGUGUUUAGUAGUGAACGGAGGGGUCUUCUUAGUCAUAAACACUGCUUACUGACUAGGAAUCAACUGUGUCCAAGGUUUUCCUUCAUUCCUCUUGCCCUGGUUCCUCCUUUCUAUAUUAGAUUGCCCUACUCUACCCUUC
rnacentral:lncRNA from 10 species